UUACUGACUAACAUGAGUGAGUUUACUCCUGGACUGGCUUUUAUACUCUGCUUCAGGCCACGAUACUUUUCUGCACCCCACCACCUUCCUGGAGGACACAGGCUGGUUCAGAUGGUCCCCCAAGAAGACCCAUCAUGUUAACAGGCAUGAAAAAUCCUGGAUCUGCAAAUAGCAGUUGUGAGAAUGCACCAUUUAUUUACACCAAAUUAACUGAGUGAAUUUCCAUUGGACUGAAGUUCCAUCAAAUACCUGAAUAACACUAAAUGUAGAUGGUUGCAGAGAGCCACAGUUCUAUUUUCUAACUACCAGCAAUGUAUGAUCAGUGGAAAUUAGAAGACUCCAGUAACAUCAGUAAAAAUGCUGCUCAUCUUCCCUUGCUCACUUGACUCCUCUCUGGCACUGGACAGCCUGGGAGGGAUUACAGCUCCCAAAGGCUUCAAGACCCAGGGAAUUUUUCUUUCCCAGUUCACCAGAGACAAAAAGAAGCAGAUUUUCUGCACCAGGAGCACCCUCACCUCCCUGCCCAAAACAGCCAGGCUGCAAUUCCCUGCCCUUUGUCCAGCCAGAAGGGAGACUGAGCAUGAAUUCCUAACAAACACACACCCAGAACUCUCCAGGAGCUGGUGAACCGCUGCUCCCAGCAGUCUUGUCCUUUCCUCACCUUGACCUUUGAUUUUCUCUGUCUUGGCCAUCUCCAAAAUAAUAAUAAAAAAACCAAAACCUUUAUGAUAAUGUGAAAAUAACCAAAAAUAGGUAUGUGACAGUCCUCUUUUAUAUAAAAAUUUAGGAUGAAAAAGCUGACUUUCACUCCUGUAUUAGAUAGUUAUUUCAUUUUAUCUGAGCUUUUCCAAUACCUGCUGGAAAUGCAAUCUGGGCAGGACCUGCAUCAGUGCCUUCCAUACAAACCACCCCAGUGCUUCAUGAAUGUGAGGUUGAGUCAUUCAUUUGGAUGCAUUGUUUUGGAAGCUGGAAGAGGAACAAUAGCCCUUUGAUGAAAAGUUCUAGAAUUUUGGGGGCCGACCCACUCAGCUGUGAUCGUAUUUUCACUGGCUUGGAGAAUACAGCUUGCCCUUCCAAAAGCAAUUUUGUAUAUUGAUGAUAUACUAAGAAGUAUACAGAUUUCCAGACAUGAGUGAUUUCUUUGUCUCUUUGUGUAACAUACCCAGUUGUCAAGGAUAUUGUGGUAUUUUUAAUGCACCCUACUGCUUUGAAAAGAUAAAGUAAAAUAAAUAAAUAAAAUAUUAUGCUUUAAAUUUGCUUUUCAAAAGAAAAAGAAGCAGAACACAGUGUCUCAAAGGACUAAUCCCAACUGAAAGCUCUUCAUGAGAAAAACAUAAAAGCCUUUAGGUUGUUUGCAUUCCCUUUAUAUUUUUUUUUAAAAUUGUACUCUUUUGUAAAUAAUUUAUAAAUAAUAAUUGAGAGAAUUUUGUUGUCUUUAACCACAUUAUCCCAAGAGUAAUGUUGAGAGCUCUAUUGAUCAAAAUGUGAUUAAGAACAUAAAAUAAUAACAGGAUUUGUCCUACUUUUUCUUCAUCCGGGCUCAGAAUAGUGGUAAUUUAUGCUAUAUUGUUACUAAAACACUCAUUUUCCCCUUACAUUAGUUAUGAGGCAACAUGGAGAGUUCACAAGACAUAAAUGACAGCCAAGCAAUAAUUCUGAAUACACUUUUGGCAUUGCCAGCUGUACUGGUAGGUCUGGCACAGCUGUUGCUCUGCUUCAGCUUUUUGUUUGUUUUCUCGUUUCCUAAAGAAACUCUUUUCAAAGGUCACCCCGCCAACAAUAAUCUCAUUGGGAAUUCACAUGGGCAGUGGACAACAGCCAGUCCAUCUAAUCCUCAUUUUUUUCAGGUGUUUACUGAGACCAAAAGCACCUGUAGCUUCACUCAUGACUUCUCAUGAGUCCUAGAAACAUCUAUAAACUUAGUGUGGACUAACUAAAGUUGCUGCAUUGAAUUAAUCUUUACCUAACACUUAGGCCUCUCACGAGCUCUGGUUCAAACUCUUGUGAGUGUCUACAGAAUGUACAUUGCAAAACAUGUUCUGGCAUUUCCUGGUCUUCACCCAAAAGUAAUUAAUAAAUU